GUGGUAGAGGGGCCGCAUGUCAGCUCCGGUGAGCCCACAGGCCCAGAUCUGCCAUUCGGGCAGGGGGAGCUGCCAAGAAUCGUGCUUACCAGCUGGAGAUCUCCCUCCUUCACAAGCAAUCUAGCUGAGAACUCUCCAUAAUUCUACAUGACUGACUGCCGGGUGAUUUCUAGUGAGAACUCUCCACAACUAAUAACUGACUGAGAACAAUCCAUAACUGAUUGCCGGGUGGUUUUCACUCUGGGUCACGAGGUGAUGGGUGCGCGUGCGUGCAUGGGUGGGGUUUAACCUAGUUACCAAAUAAAUUAUAAAAGGUGGUGGGGAGCACCAGAUGUCAGCUCUGACAAUUUAUUCAUUGCCUUAGUGCUUUGCUCGUCAGUUCGUGCCAGAGGAAGAUAAACAUUUUCAAAUCGUCUCUGUGUUUGGCUGUUUUCCUUAACCCUUCAGAACCUGACAAUGAUGCUGAAAAUGGAUAUUCAAUUUUUUCUUGAAGACCUCCAGUGAUGGAGCACCCACAACUUCUGUAGGUACUUUGGAGGCCAGCCCCUUCUCUGUGACAGCCCAAGAACUGAAAGACAGCCAUCAUGUCAGCCCUAGUCCUUCUCUUCAUUUGACUAGAAAUACCUAUUUCUGUUAACCAUUCACUGUAUGUUUUUGUCUCCAGUUCCCUAAUCAUUUUUGUUGCUUUUGUAAAAAAUAUGAAGCUAGUACAUGCAGAAGGGUCUAGGACUCUAGGUGAAAAUAUGAACUCUCAAGUUAAAGUCCAAAACAAAUUUUAUUUAAGAAAUAUAAACCUUUGUUUUCAUACAAUCUCAAAAAAAUGUGACAUGUACAGAGAUAGUGAAUCAGAUCACAUAACAAUAGGCACAUGAAAUCUAGCCCAGAACAAGAGUCAAUCUUCAGAAAACUCCCCAUCCCCCAAAAUGGGAGGAAUGCCUCAUAAAUGUAUUAAGGAAAUGAUACUCUCCAUUUUUACAUGGAAUGAAAAUGAAACAAGUCCCAAUUCAAACAACAGUCUUUUAUAUUCCUGCUGAGGAAUGUCUACGCUUGAAGAAAGUGGUCACAAUGUAGAUAGUUCAAAAAUGAUGUUAUGGCAACGUUGUCAAAACUUGAGGAUAUUAAAAGAAAAAAAAUGGGUUUCCUUCUGUGUCCAUCUUCAGAAAAUUUGCUUUCAGCUGAGGUACAUCUGUUCUUCCUUUGCCCAGGGAAAAUGCAAUAAAAAUAAAUAAAUAAGGAUAACGUAUCAGGAAUUUAUUUUCUUUGCAUUCUGAACAGAAGGGGGGGAAAGAUUAAGUAUAAAAGAGGUUCCCUUGUGGCUGUUUGAUGAGUUAAACCCCUUUUUCUUCUCCAAAGAAGCUCAGAGUUAACUGCUUUCCCCAUCUGAACUGAUCACUCCUUGAAGCUGGGACCAGUCUGUGGUGUGACAGCGAAUGGUUGGAGCCUCUGCGAAACUGGGUGAUUCCUGGGGCUUAUUGUAAAGGCUCCAGACUUUGCGACGCUUUGGACGGCCUGCGUGGAGAGAAGAGAAGGGAAAAGUUUUCUAGAUGCGCUAAGACGGUGCCUCUAUUGCAUGGAAACUAGUGGGCAUCUCCAGAUUAGACUCACUUACUGUCCGUCAGGCUCUGAAGGCCAUGAAAGAUGGAUUGAGGUUCUUCUAAGCAGUUUCCUUUAUUGUUCCUCAACCCCAGAGAGGAAUCUUGCCAAACUAAAGCAGGCUACUUGCACCAUGAAGUACAUACAGGUGGACUUCCUGUUUUUCUAGGUGGAUGGCAUGUCAGGUCCCAGAUAUUUCUACAGGCAUUUUGGUGGGAGGAAGAGGGGAGGAAUGGAGUGAUCUGUAUAUGAAGUUUCUGUUUCCUGCAUUACUGUGCUAAUAUCUAUAUGAAGUUUCUGUUUCCCUGAAAUGAUGUAGUGUGGGAGGGGGUUGGUUAGCAUUGCUUUAAAUAGCUAGUUUUAAGUGAGAAGCUUCAGUUCUUGCCUAGAUCUCAUUAUCACAAACCUUCAAUAAAAG